UGCAGUCGAGCGCUUCACUUCGGUGAGGAGCGGCAGACGGGUGAGUAACGCGUGGGAACAUACCUAAUAGUACGGAAUAACGAUUGGAAACGAUCGCUAAUACCGUAUACGCCCUUCGGGGGAAAGAUUUAUCGCUAUUAGAUUGGCCCGCGUUGGAUUAGCUAGUUGGUGAGGUAACGGCUCACCAAGGCGACGAUCUAUAGCUGGUCUGAGAGGAUGAUCAGCCACACUGGGACUGAGACACGGCCCAGACUCCUACGGGAGGCAGCAGUGGGGAAUAUUGGACAAUGGGCGCAAGCCUGAUCCAGCCAUGCCGCGUGAGUGAUGAAGGCCUUAGGGUUGUAAAGCUCUUUCGCUAGGGAAGAUAAUGACGGUACCUAGUAAAGAAGCCCCGGCUAACUUCGUGCCAGCAGCCGCGGUAAUACGAAGGGGGCUAACGUUGUUCGGAUUUACUGGGCGUAAAGCGUACGUAGGCGGAUUAGUAAGUUAGGGGUGAAAUCCCGAGGCUCAACCUCGGAACUGCCUUUAAUACUGCUAAUCUAGAGAUCGGGAGAGGUGUAUGGAACUCCUAGUGUAGAGGUGGAAUUCGUAGAUAUUAGGAAGAACACCAGUGGCGAAGGCGA
rnacentral:rRNA from 1 species